GAGUUUGAUCAUGGCUCAGAGUGAACGCUGGCGGCAGGCCUAACACAUGCAAGUCGAGCGCCCCGCAAGGGGAGCGGCAGACGGGAGAGUAACACGUGGGAACGUGCCCUUCAGUUCGGAACAACCCAGGGAAACUUGGGCUAAUACCGGAUACGUCCGUAAGGAGAAAGAUUUAUCGCUGAAGGAUCGGCCCGCGUCUGAUUAGCUAGUUGGUGGGGUAAGGGCCCACCAAGGCGACGAUCAGUAGCUGGUCUGAGAGGAUGAUCAGCCUCACUGGGACUGAGACACGGCCCAGACUCCUACGGGAGGCAGCAGGUGGGGAAUAUUGGACAAUGGGCGCAAGCCUGAUCCAGCCGUGCCGCGUGGAUGAUGAA
rnacentral:rRNA from 1 species